CGCUGGCGGCGUGCUUAACACAUGCAAGUCGAACGGAAAGGCCUUGUGCUUGCACAAGGUACUCGAGUGGCGAACGGGUGAGUAACACGUGGGUGAUCCGCCCUGCACUGUGGGAUAAGCCUGGGAAACUGGGUCUAAUACCAUAUAGGACCGCAUCUUGGAUGGUGUGGUGGAAAGCUUUUGCGGUGUGGGAUGAGCCUGCGGCCUAUCAGCUUGUUGGUGGGGUAAUGGCCUACCAAGGCGGCGACGGGUAUCCGGCCUGAGAGGGUGUACGGACACAUUGGGACUGAGAUACGGCCCAGACUCCUACGGGAGGCAGCAGUGGGGAAUAUUGCACAAUGGGCGCAAGCCUGAUGCAGCGACGCCGCGUGGGGGAUGAAGGCCUUCGGGUUGUAAACUCCUUUCGCUAUCGACGAAGCCACUUGUGGUGACGGUAGGUAGAUAAGAAGCACCGGCUAACUACGUGCCAGCAGCCGCGGUAAUACGUAGGGUGCAAGCGUUGUCCGGAAUUACUGGGCGUAAAGAGCUCGUAGGUGGUUUGUCGCGUCGUCUGUGAAAUCCCGGGGCUUAACUUCGGGCGUGCAGGUGAUACGGGCAUAACUUGAGUGCUGUAGGGGAGACUGGAAUUCCUGGUGUAGCGGUGAAAUGCGCAGAUAUCAGGAGGAACACCGAUGGCGAAGGCAGGUCUCUGGGCAGUUACUGACGCUGAGGAGCGAAAGCAUGGGUAGCGAACAGGAUUAGAUACCCUG
rnacentral:rRNA from 1 species